UAAAAAGACAGGCCGAAUCUCCGGCAAAACCGGAGUACGGGGGACUAAAUAUACCCGGGGUGAAUCCGUAACCUUUCCACGGAGGUGUUAAAAGGUGCGGUAGGGUGCCCUUCAACCCGAACCCGUCAACUAACCUCGAAGGCCAAAAGAGGGGGAAA
rnacentral:sRNA from 2 species